rnacentral:lncRNA from 1 species
AUGUUGUAAGAAAUGGACCUCUCAAUUGUUCAGUAUUCUCGAGCAGGAGGUGGACAAGGAUUGGCUUGAUUUUUUCCUACGGCUGCAGUCAAUCGUUGGAUGGCUUAGAAGAGUUCAACAAAUUCAGCCCUUGUCAGGUGAUCCAGAGCUUCAGAUCGUUCAGUACGCUGUACAGAUGGUCUUCUUACGUCAUUCAUACAAAAGAA